rnacentral:lncRNA from 1 species
ACAGUGUUCUUUUGAGGGCCUAACUGCACACAAGAAGCUGGUGGGCUGUGGUGUCGGUCGAGUGUUCCUUCUUCCAUUGCUCUCACAAAUUCAAGAAUGUCGCCUUCGGUUGUUGCUCGGUAUAAUUGCGGAUCCAUAUUUUUUGCAGUUUCGUAAGUCUCCUCUUCUUCUAGCAAUCCUGGAUAUUUGGGUACAGACAUAGGUAGAUAAUGGGUUUUUUCAGUUACUUUACUCUCAUUCUUCCUUUAGAAAAUCAAG